rnacentral:rRNA from 1 species
GCAACGCGAAGAACCUUACCUGGGCUCGAACGGCUAGUGACAGGCGGCGAAAGUCGCUUUUCCCGCAAGGGACACUAGUCGAGGUGCUGCAUGGCUGUCGUCGGCUCGUGUCGUGAGAUGUUGGGUUAAGUCCCGCAACGAGCGCAACCCCUGCCUUUAGUUGCCACCAGAUUAUGCUGAGCACUCUAAAGGGACUGCCGGUGAAAAACCGGAGGAAGGUGGGGAUGACGUCAAGUCCUCAUGGCCUUUAUGUCCAGGGCUACACACGUACUACAAUGGGCGGCACAAUGAGUCGCAAACCCGCGAGGGGGAGCCAAUCUCAAAAAACCGCUCUCAGUUCGGAUUGCAGUCUGCAACUCGACUGCAUGAAGCCGGAAUCGCUAGUAAUCGCUGAUCAGCAAGCAGCGGUGAAUACGUUCCCGGGCCUUGUACACACCGCCCGUCACAUCACGAAAGCCAGUUGUACUAGAAGCCGGCAAUUCAACCGUAAGGAGAUAGCCGUCCAAGGUAUGACUGGUGAUUGGGGUG